CCCAGCGCCCGGAGGAGGGCAGUCUGUUGCCAGAGAGCCGGCGCCCUGCUAGCCAGACCUAUAGGGUCAUCGGACUGACCCCAAAAUAAGCAAAGAAGGAACUGGGAAAGGAGGGGGAUAGAAAGUGAAAGGGGUCUUCGCCAGGUUGCUAGUCGCCACGGCAACGGCAAAAGGCUUUGUGCCCGACUGGAAAAGUCAAGUGCAGAGCCCCCAGGGCUCGGCUGGCAGCUGCUUGGGGGCGCGUCCUCGCUAGGCCGGGCCCGGCAGGGCCGUGACUCAGCCGGCCGAGACCUGGGCAACUGCAGCUCCGCAGACCACGGUGCAGCCGGGCCUCGGCUUCCGCUUUCCGGGUUUUGCUGAGAAGAUGGCUCCGCCCCCGCCCGGGGCCUUCCAGCCGAGCCUCCGCAGGGCUCCUGAACGAGGAGCUAGGGAGAUACACCGAGAUCUCGGCCCAGAGCAGCUGCUCAAGAUCACCGUUCAGGUCACUUGCUCGGAAAUGACUUUCCCAGACAUCGAUCUAAAGGAGGUCUUUGCAGAUCCGCUGGUUCCUGAGUGAUUAUACACAGUGCUGGCUGUCAGGAGACAGUCUCCUUGUUUAUUAACAAUGACCAGCUUAGAUGACAGAUGGCAUCUGCUGGAUGGCAAGUGGGAGAUGGGGAAAUCGGAUCUUGGAAGACAAGAAAAAAAUAAAAAGUUUUUGCUUUAACAA